rnacentral:rRNA from 1 species
GACGAACGCUGGCGGCGUGCUUAACACAUGCAAGUCGAACGGAAAGGCCCUGCUUUUGUGGGGUGCUCGAGUGGCGAACGGGUGAGUAACACGUGAGUAACCUGCCCUUGACUUUGGGAUAACUUCAGGAAACUGGGGCUAAUACCGGAUAGGAGCUCCUGCUGCAUGGUGGGGGUUGGAAAGUUUCGGCGGUUGGGGAUGGACUCGCGGCUUAUCAGCUUGUUGGUGGGGUAGUGGCUUACCAAGGCUUUGACGGGUAGCCGGCCUGAGAGGGUGACCGGCGCCGUGCGUCCGGGGAUCCCGCCCGGCUCGGGCGGGGGGGCAGGAGUUGGCGUUGUAGCGCGACGGGCGCGCGCGUGCUGCCGACUGGCUGGGUGGGGGAGGACGGGCUGCGGGCUGUACUCCGCUCUCCCGUUGGCCGGGUCGUGAGUUGCGGUAAGGGGCAAAGAAGCGCCGGCUAAGGACGUGCCAGCAGCGGAGGUAAUACGGGGCCGCGCACCCGUCGCCCC